rnacentral:tRNA from 1 species
GGCAGUAUAGCUCAAUUGGUAGAGUGCUUGCCUUACAUGCACAAGUCCCUGGGUUCGAUCCUAGCACCACCG